UUCGGACCUCCAAUCAAGCAAGG
rnacentral:rRNA from 1 species